CGAUUCAGCUAGAAGCGGGUCAAAUUUGAACUGUAGCUGCCUCGUAGUUUGCUCUUUAUUUUUUUCCAAAAAUCAUUUCUAGGUACAUAAGUAUCUUUUUAAUCAGAGAAACACCAACAAAAUUCCAAGAUUCAACCACUAGCUAGAAACGGUCAUUCCCGCCGUUUUGACCGCAUUUUGAAACGGGCAUAAAAAAUUCAAAAAAAAUCGAAAAAAUAGGAAACCUUCGCAUUGUGUCAUCAUAUGUGGCCAAGUUCCUAGGAAAAAUAACAAACUUGUAAUACGGCAAUUAUUUUUAAAAAGUGUUCUCAGAAACGAGCUAUCAUGUGUGGAGAUCAAUGGCUUUCAAGCCAAAUGAUCAAUCUUAUGGCCACAUCCAUGGCAUAGUUUGUUUAAAUGAUCUCAUAUUGUGCACAAGGGUGCAUAUUGGAAUGGCAAACAAUGUUGCCUAAGGAAGUUUUCAUUUUCGUUGGACGAAAAAACCAUUUUCCAUUUUUUGAGUGCCCGAAAGGAGGUUUUUUUGUGAAGGAACUACCAAAUAAUUGUUGCAAAAUUGGACCAAAUCAUUUUUCUAAAAUACUAGGCCAUAUUUAAUGCACAAUUGACCAAAUGGUUGGGUGAAAAAAGUUUUGAUCCACCUCUGGUGAAAAAGACAAAUUUCCGUCGAUUCAGUUGGAAGCGGGUCAAAUUUGAACUGUAGCUGCCUCGUAGUUUGCUCUUUAUUUUUUCCAAAAAUCAUUUCUAGGUACAUAAGUAUCUUUUUAAUCAGAGAAACACCAACAAAAUUCCAAGAUUCAACCACUAGCUAGGAACGGUCAUUCCCGCCGUUUUGACCGCAUUUUGAAACGGGCAUAAAAAAUUCAAAAAAAACAAAAAAUUGGGAAACCUUCGCAUUGUGUCAUCAUAUGUGGCCAAGUUCCUAGGAAAAAUAACAAACUUGUAAUACGGCAAUUAUUUUAGAAAAGUGUUCUCAGAAACGAGCUAUCAUGUGUGGAGAUCAAUGGCUUUCAAGCCAAAUGAUCAAUCUUAUGGCCACAUCCAUGGCAUAGUUUGUUCAAAUGAUCUCAUAUUGUGCAAAAGGGUGCAUAUUGGAAUGGCAAACAAUGUUGCCUAAGGAAGUUUUCAUUUUCGUUGGACGAAAAAACCAUUUUCCAUUUUUCGAGUGCCCGAAAGGAGGUUUUUUGUGAAGGAACUACCAAAUAAUUGUUGCAAAAUUGGACCAAAUCAUUUUUCUAAAAUAGUAGGCCAUAUUUAAUGCACAAUUGACCAAAUGGUUGGGUGAAAAAAGUUUCGAUCCACCUCUGGUGAAAAAGACAAAUUUCCGCCGAUUCAGGUGGAAGCGGGUCAAAUUUGAACUGUACCUGCCUCGUAGUUUGCUCUUUAUUUUUUCCAAAAAUCAUUUCUAGGUACAUAUGUAUCUUUUUAAUCAGAGAGACACCAACAAAAUUCCAAGAUUCAACAACUAGCUAGGAACGGUCAUUCCCGCCGUUUUGACCGCAUUUUGGAACGGGCAUAAAAAAUUCAAAAAACAUCAAAAAAAUUGGGAAACCUUCGCAUUGUGUCAUCAUAUGUGGCCAAGUUCCUAGGAAAAAUAACAAACUUGUAAUACGGCAAUUAUUUUAGAAAAGUGUUCUCAGAAACGAGCUAUCAUGUGUGGAGAUCAAUGGCUUUCAAGCCAAAUGAUCAAUCUUAUGGCCACAUCCAUGGCAUAGUUUGUUCAAAUGAUCUCAUAUUGUGCACAAGGGUGCAUAUUGGAAUGGCAAACAAUGUUGCCUAAGGAAGUUUUCAUUUUGGUUGGACGAAAAAACCAUUUUCCAUUUUUCGAGUGCCCGAAAGGAGGUUUUUUUGUGAAGGAACUACCAAAUAAUUGUUGCAAAAUUGUACCAAAUCAUUUUUAUAAAAUACUAGGCCAUAUUUAAUGCACAAUUGACCAAAUGGUUG
rnacentral:lncRNA from 1 species